CCCUUAGAUGUUCUGGGCCGCACGCGUGCUACACUGAGUGGAUCAGCGGGUCAGGUUGCGCGAAAGUGUUUCCUAAUCUUGAAAUCCGCUCGUGAUGGGGAUUGACGGUUGCAAUUUUCCGUCAUGAACGAGGAAUACCUUGUAAGCGCGGGUCAUCAUCCCGCGCUGAAUACGUCCCUGCCCUUUGUACACACCGCCCGUCGCUCCUACCGAUUGAGUGGUCCGGUGAGGCUUUGGGAUCUGAGCGGAAAGAGCGUUUCGCUGUUUCUGCUCGGAAAACUCAGUCGAACCUUAUCAUUUAGAGGAAGGCGAAGUCGUAACA
rnacentral:rRNA from 1 species